rnacentral:rRNA from 1 species
GACGAACGCUGGCGGCGUGCCUAAUACAUGCAAGUAGAACGCUGAAGGAGGAGCUUGCUUCUCUGGAUGAGUUGCGAACGGGUGAGUAACGCGUAGGUAACCUGCCUGGUAGCGGGGGAUAACUAUUGGAAACGAUAGCUAAUACCGCAUAAGAGUAGAUGUUGCAUGACAUUUGCUUAAAAGGUGCAAUUGCAUCACUACCAGAUGGACCUGCGUUGUAUUAGCUAGUUGGUGGGGUAACGGCUCACCAAGGCGACGAUACAUAGCCGACCUGAGAGGGUGAUCGGCCACACUGGGACUGAGACACGGCCUAGACUCCUACGGGAGGCAGCAGUAGGGAAUCUUCGGCAAUGGACGGAAGUCUGACCGAGCAACGCCGCGUGAGUGAAGAAGGGUGUCGGAUCGUAAAGCUCUGUUGUAAGAGAAGAACGAGUGUGAGAGUGGAAAGUUCACACUGUGACGGUAUCUUACCAGAAAGGGACGGCUAACUACGUG